rnacentral:lncRNA from 1 species
CCGUGACACAGUUUCUCCUUUCACAACCAACUGAAUCUGGACCGUUGUCUCCUUGACAGCAUUGAAGAUGGUCACACUCACAGCUUCCUCAACACCGGACCGGAACACAGAAGGUGCCGCAAUCAAAUAGCCCUGCCUGCCGCGGGGCUGCGCUGCGCUCAGGCCGCACAGGGUCAGCAGAACCCCCCAGGCGCAGCGGCGCUCCGCGCGGUGCAUCCUGCUCCGGGAACGGCUCCGCAGCCGCGGCGCUCUCCGGUGCCGGAGCCUUUUGUUCCCGGGGCGCAGCCCUGCUGGUUCCGCGGCCGCCCCGCGCCGGGCUCG